rnacentral:tRNA from 3 species
GCGAGUGUAGUAUAAUGGUAAUACACGACCUUCCCAAGGUUGAGUCGUGGGUUCGAUUCCCAUCACUCGCUCGA